rnacentral:rRNA from 1 species
UACGUAGGGUGCAAGCGUUGUCCGGAAUUAUUGGGCGUAAAGAGCUCGUAGGCGGUCUGUCGCGUCUGCUGUGAAAACUCGGGGCUUAACCCCGGGCCUGCAGUGGGUACGGGCAGACUAGAGUGCGGUAGGGGAGACUGGAAUUCCUGGUGUAGCGGUGAAAUGCGUAGAUAUCAAGAGGAACACCUGCGGCGAAGGCGGGUUGCUGGGCCGACACUGACGCUGAGGCGCGAAAGCUAGGGGAGCGAACGGG